rnacentral:lncRNA from 1 species
UGCAAGCGAAAUUCAAAAAAUAUUUCUUUCCAAUUCCUCCAAUUUACUUAAUUGGUGCAGUUCUAAAUCCUUCUAUUAAAAUGUCUGAUUGUCACCAACAGUGUUGUUAAAAGCGCUCGCUACAGCGCUUUUAGCGCGUAGCGAGUGGCUGAUGCCACAGCAGCCUGUGUGGCGAGGCAAUCGUGAAUAGCGCUGGCAACAGGCAGUGAGGCGUGAGGCGUAGCGAGGCGCGAGGCGAGGCGUAGCGACGCUAUUUUGAAAUUACACAGAAAUUAAACACAUCAGCAGCAGCUUUACAAAAACAGAAAAUUAGGGUUUUCUAUCUAUUACACUCGACAAAAACAAAAGGCAAAAGGCAGUCUUCAUCUUCUGGCUUCUCUCGACGACUCGACCAGGUAUGUUCUUCUUUCUUCUUUCUUCUUUCUUCCUUCUUCCUUCUUCCUUCUUCCUUCUUCCUUCUUCUCUCUUUCUUCUUUUUUUCCUUCUUCUCCCAGUCGACAGAAGAAGGCUCUGUUUUUUUUUUUCCUUCUUCUUCCAGUCGACAGACUGGUCGACAGUGCACUGUCAACGACCAGUGAAAAAAAAACAGAGCCUUCUUUUUUUCCUUCUUCUUCCAGUCGACAGACUGCUCUUUUUUAUUUUUUCCAGUGAUCCA